rnacentral:rRNA from 1 species
CCCUUAGAUGUUCUGGGCCGCACGCGCGCUACACUGACGAAUGCAACGAGCUUAUAACCUUGGCCGAAAGGUCUGGGUAAUCUUUGAACGCUGUUCGUGAUUGGGAUAGACCUUUGCAAUUAUGGGUCUUCAACGAGGAAUUCCUAGUAAACACAAGUCAUCAGCUUGCAUUGAUUACGUCCCUGCCCUUUGUACACACCGCCCGUCGCACCUACCGAUUGAAUGGUCCGGUGAAAUCUCGGGACGGCGGCUUGGUCGCUUGCGUCCGACUGCUGAAACUUGAUUAAACCAUAUCAUUUAGAGGAAGGUGAAGUCGUAACA